rnacentral:rRNA from 1 species
UUUAUUGAGAGUUUGAUCCUGGCUCAGGGUGAACGCUGGCGACGUGUUUUAGGCAUGCAAGUCAAAUGUUUUUCGUAAACAUGGCACACGGGUGAGUAAUACGUUGGUAAUCUAACUUGAGGUCUGGGAUAACCCCGCGAAAGCGGGGAUAAUACCAGAUGGUCAUGUAGAGUCAUAGGACUUUACAUGUAAAGUUUUUCGCCUCGAGAAGAGCCUACGUCCCAUCAGCUUGUUGGUAGGGUAAAAGCCUACCAAGGCUAUGACGGGUAACUGGUCUGAGAAGACGACCAGUCACAUCGGGACUGACACACUGCCCGGACUCCUACGGGAGGCUGCAGUCAAGAAUCUUCCGCAAUGGGGGAAACCCUGACGGAGCGACGUCGCGUGAUUGAUGAAGUCCUUCGGGAUGUAAAAAUCUUUUAUAUCGGAAAAAGCCUUCGGGUUGAUUGUACGAUAUGAAUAAGCCAUGGCUAACCUCGUGCCAGCAGCCGCGGUAAGACGAGGAUGGCAAGCGUUACCCGGAAUAAUUGGGCGUAAAGCGUCCGCAGGCGGUUUGAAAAGUCGGUUGUUAAAUCCUAGGGCUCAACCCUAGGGCCGCAAUCGAAACUAUCAGACUAGAGAUAAGGAAGGGUGAGUGGAAUUCUCGGUGUAGCAGUAAAAUGCGUUAAUAUCGAGAGGAACACCAAUAGCGAAGGCAACUCACUGGCCUUAUUCUGACGCUCAUGGACGAAAGCGUGGGGAGCGAAUGGGAUUAGAUACCCCAGUAGUCCACGCCGUAAACGUUGGAUACUAGACAUAAGAGGAAUCGACCCCUGUUGUGUCGAAGCUAACGCGUUAAGUAUCCCGCCUGGGGAGUACGGUCGCAAGACUAAAACUCAAAG